GAAAAGGUGUGGGACAUCGGGCCAGACAGGACGGUUAGGGAGCCGAGGGGCUUGGACUUUGCAUCGCGGGAGGAGCCUAAGAAGCCCUCCCGGGCUUCAGCCAGAAAAAGGUGCAGAAGACUCACAAGAAGAACUAAGAAAAGAAGCUAGGUACUCAGACAUGGACCAUCUGGAUCUGCGGUCACCAGAAGCCAGUUUCCCGGGAGCUGCUACACCCACGGGCUGGCAGAGUCUAAGCAGAGUGACAGGGAACAGAUAAAAUAUCCUCAACUCCUGAAGGACGAGAGUAAACAGGAGAACGUCCUGCCUUUCUGUGGAGACACCGUGAAAUGGAAUCAUUCGUCAGAAUGAAAAAACACCUAUUUGAAAUUCCAUCGUGACCAAAGAGACACCACACUCGACUCAUUUCCUUAUUGAGUUGGUUCUUGAAGCCAGCCUGGCUGCUUUCUUUUUCCAUCUAGAAGAAACGAGAAGCUCCAUGUGGCGUGUCCAUUCCAGGAGCCCAGCAGGUAUUCCUGGGCGCCCCCUCCCCCGCCCCCCAUGCAUAAACUUCAGGCACGGCCCUUCUAUUACAAAAAGAUGGAGUUCUCCAAUGCGGAUUGGGGGGCACCCAUUUCCAGCCCAUGUUUAUUUUGACUUAUGAAAAGAAUGUGUUUGUCCCUUUGCCAUUGGACCCUCAGACUUUACUGGCUCUUUGGAUCCACUUUGCAGCCCUCCGUCUACCUCA